GGAUUAGAUACCCUGGUAGUCCUAGCUGUAAACGAUGGGUACUAGGCUCUGGGAUUCCUGAUGAUUUCAGGGCCGUAGCUAAUGCGUUAAGUACCCCGCCUGGGGAGUAUGGUCGCAAGGCUAAAACUCAAAGGAAUUGACGGGGGCUCACACAAGCGGUGGAGCAUGUUGUUCAAUUCGAAGCAACGCGAAGAACCUUACCUGGCCUUGACAUGCUAGAUGUACGAACCUGAAAGGGGGAGGACCGGUAUCCAAUCCGGAACUAGCACAGGUGCUGCAUGGCUGUCGUCAGCUCGUGCUG
rnacentral:rRNA from 1 species